UGAACAUGGCACACAACAAUUUCUAGUUAGGCCCUGGUGGUGUGUUGACGGUUUGUUUAAAUUGUCUUAAAACAUCUUUCACUACACAAAUCACUAGCUAGUGGCGGUAUCCAUAAAGAUGUUAAAGUGGUAUCCAUCGUAGCAAGGCACCCAAAUGAAAAGCUAUAAACAACUCCUCCAGCACCGACGAGGCUCCAUAUACUCACUGCCAAUG
rnacentral:lncRNA from 1 species